AAAAAAGAGUAAACAAGGCAGACUCCUGCAAUGUCCAAUACAGACCCAGAACGACGACCGACGACCGACGACAGAAGCCAAACUCGAAGCUUAGGGCUUUUUCCACUCACACUUCCUACUAAGCUACCCCAUACCCUUCUUUCUCGCUGCAAUUCGUUGGUAGAGCUUCAAGAGAUUCAAUCAGCUUUACAUUACUUUUCUUUGCUUUAAUCGUCAUUAAUUAACUUUGUUCUGAUACUUCUUUGAGAAUUUUAUGUGUUGGAUCUGUUUCUUCUUAGUGUUUGAUGCAGAAUUGGUAGUUUGCCUCUCCAGAUGACGCCAGUCUGUCCCUUUAUGAAAGCUGCGGGCCCUGAUGAUUCGACGUCGAAGAAACCGGGGGAAAUUCCGAGCAAACAUGGGACGGAGCACGGCAGGAAGGGGAAGAAAUAGUCUGGAGAAUCUUCCAGCAUUUCUCCGAAGUGUCCCUUUGGAUAUGAUUCUGCCAGCGCUAAAUCUGGCAGCAUUUCUCCAAAGGGUCCCUUAGGAUAUGAUUCUCAAACAUUUAAAAUUGGGCCUCUCAGUUGUGUUUUAUGCCAAGCACUUCUCUUUGAGAGUAGCAGAUGUGUGCCUUGCUCUCAUGUUUAUUGCAAGUGAGCCUGAAAGAUUUCGAAUAUAUGCGUACAUUAGUUGUUUUGUUUAUAACUUGUUUAUUUUAAUUGUUGCAAAGCUUGUAUUUCCCGCUUUGUAGAUCGUCCACUGUGUGGAUCUGACAUUGAGAAGAUUGAAGCUGAUAGCAAUCUCCAGGCUGUUGUUGAUCGGUUCAUUGAUGGUCAUGCUAGAAUCAAGAGCUCACAUGUUGAGGCAGACAAAAAGGAAGAAGCAGAUGACGAUAAAAAAGUGAUAUAUGAGGAUGUAUCUUUGGAGAGAGGUGCUUUUUUGGUGCAACAUGCUAUGAGAG
rnacentral:misc_RNA from 1 species